rnacentral:piRNA from 1 species
UUCUAAGUAGACUGCGAGCCCUG